rnacentral:lncRNA from 1 species
ACUAUCACGAGAACAACACGGGAAAACUGUCCCCAUAAUCAAGUCAUUUCUCUCCCUAACAAGUGAGGAUUACAAUUCAAGAUGAGGUUUGGGUAGGAACACAAAGCCUGACCCUAUCCCACAGCAUGUCCAGGCUGCCCUAGCACCACCCAAUAGAAGGGAAAAUGGCAGAGGGAAAGUCCUAGUGGAAAGAGACCUCAGUCUCAGCUAAUUGUGGUGACAAUAUAUUGCUUUUGCAAAUUGUACAUAAACAUAUGACCAGGUGAAUGUAUCGCCAAGGCUCCUGCCAAGGCCUGGGAUGGAGGCCUAGAGAAGAUGCCCGAAAGUUUAUGCUGUGUGAGCUUCACAGAAGACCUGCCUUCCAUGUAUACCCAUUUUACAGGUGUCUGUGCGGUGCAGAAACUGUACAACUGUAUACAGUGACCAUUUCUACUCUGGGUCUCUAAACAAGGGCUGGUAUCGUUACAGAGACUGAAGACUGAGGAAGACCAUCUCUGUAGGAUGCCAAGGAUUGACUGGAGAAAGUCUGGGGUCCCUCUACCUGGGAUGUGAUUCAGUACCCAAUGGUGGAGCGGUCGUUGAGGAAUGAAGACACAUACAAAGGGUAAAGGAGCAGAAUUUUCCACAAAUGAGUUCAUUUAUAAAGAGAAAGGCAAGCUUUGAUGACAACACCUUCACAAAAUGGAGGCCUUUGAAAACAUUGGUCUGGAUUGAGGAGUUGGAGAAGAAUGAAGUGCACAUCAACCAAACAGAAGAGAAGCAAUUUGGAGGAGGAAAAAAUCAGUUCUUCAUGAAAGGAUCACAUUGAUCUUGGUUCAUCCCAGUGCCUCCUCUGCAGAC